rnacentral:rRNA from 1 species
GGAAGUAAAGUCGUACAGGUUCCGUAGGUGACUGCGGAAGGAUCAUC